CUGACUAAAUGAUACUAAACGUUAUAAUAGUAACGUGCCUUGCUCUGGGAUCUGGGGUAUGAUGUGACUCUAGGUAGCCCUUGGCAAAAUCCAGUUAGUGACUUUGGAUGAUGGUCCGUGUUUCAAAUAACCAGACAAACCAAAUUGGCACAAUUCAGAAUCGUGGGUUACCUGUUAAGGACAAGCACACCGAUGGAAAGAAGCCUCCAGAGAGAUGUUUGAGGCAAUUAAUACAUGCUUUAUGUAUGUCAUUCCUGAUGUAGGCCUGGAGCACUCCCUUGCAGUCUUUUCUGGCUAAUUCUGCUGCCCUAGGUCUCAGUUCAUGAAUAACUUCUGCUCAGAUGUCUUCCGUGACCCUCACACGUGUGUCUACUGCUUCUUAUGGUCACGUCUAAGGUGACGCUAAUGGGAUCACAUUGCUCCCUCCAGCCAGCCUGCCUCCCUCUCUUCCUCCCUCUGCUCUUCUUUUCUCCUUUCUUUCUUCUUCUUUUCUCCUUCUCUUUUAUAGAAGCUUUCAUCACUGUGGAGGAUAUAUUAGUCUGUUGUGGUUAGGGGAAUACUGCAGGUGUGACAUGGCUCUGUGCCACAUGGAGAAGGAGCACAAUGUCACUUCCGAGGUUUGUCAUGAACACCCUGAUAGAUUCUUCAGGUGAAGUGAGAGGCCUUUCUCCCUGCUGUGCUGUCAAGGCUGAGAAGCGAAAGGAAAAUUCAUGUGUCCUGUGGCAAGUGCCUGUGGUCUCACUACUGCACUAAAUACAGUUCUGCCAGGUUUUGUGUUAGUUGAUAUUCUGUGAAUGGAGUUAACAUCUUCUGAGUUUUCUGGGAGUUUGUAAAUUAGACAACCUGGAGUGAUUCUUUUUGCCCAGCGAGGUAUCUAUGAAAUAGUACAAGUAAGUUUUGGUGAAUCAUUGUUACAUAUUAAAUAUCAACGUCAGUUCCCAGAACACGUUAUUCAGUUUCUACACUAAGCCCUACUCGACCUGAUGCUAAGUAAUGUUGGGGAUCUUUGUUGUUGUUGUUGUUGUUGUUGUUUUGGGGGGUUGGACCCAGUUUCCCAUGGACACCAAAGAGGAAGCUCACUAGCAAGUUAGUCAUCCUUUGCCUCAUCCACAAGGUAGACAUUUCUUAGUUCAUUUUCAAGCAGGAUUUUCCUUUUUGAUUGCCUUAAUCAGGGAAAAGACAGCCUUUCUAAAGGAGAUACCCCUUAGUCUCAGUGGAAUUAAGAAAAGCAAAUACUUAAAAUUAAAUUUUAAAAGACCUGAACUCAAAAAGAAGACAAUUGAAAUAUUUACUUCUUAUGUCUUUAUAUAUGAAAAAGAUGUGUUCUCUACUCUAUAAUAAAUGAUCACAAGAGACUUUAUAGACACUGACUUGGGAAAGCUUGAGGAGAGCUAUCACUACUGUGUGUUUUUUGAUUUCAUGCAUGCUCUCUGUUUCCAUGCCUAGUGAAUUCCCAUUUGAAUCUUUUGAAUUUCAAGUCUUCCAUAAGUUAAGACCAGGAAGCUGCUUCAGAGACAUCAUAAUCUGCAAAGAAAAAUAUUCUUUCAGUCUUCCAGAACACUACCUAUUGCCUGGCCCCAGGGAUGGGAAAAGGUGAGCUUUCAAAGGGCAAUUGCAAUGAAGGGCAUUGUGGUCCACACUGAAGAUUUUGACUUGUUUCCUGCAGAUGAUGGCAAAUGUUUGGAGAAUUUGGGGAGAGGAGGAAGAGAAUCAGAAUUUUCUUUUCGACAUACCACUGGAGGUUGUAGGGAGGAUGCGUGUGGAAGCAGGAGACCAGUUGGAAGCUGUUGUAGGAGUCGGUAUUUUCCACUCCCAUGCCAGCUUUGGGACCUGGUUCCAUUUCUCCUCAAGGUUUGUAGGAAGAAAAUUUUCACUGGUACUAUUUCUAUAAUAUAUUAUUCUAUGUAUCUUUCACCCUUCUACCAUUACUAUAUAUAUAAUCAACAAAAUGGGGAAAUCUCACUUUGGGAGACUUCCUCAUAAUCUUUUCCCUCAGGGACUUGAUUUGCCCAUUAAAAUAGGCAUGAAGAAGCUCUUCUGUGAAAUCUCCUUUUCCACUGGUGGCAUGAAAGCCUAUGUGUUUCUUGAAUUUGGCCACACCCCAGCAGGUGAACCCUUUCUACUCCCCAUCAUAGCUGUUGGUGCUUAUCGAAGGCUUCCUGGGGAGGCUCUGGAGGGGUUCAUCCUAACUCUCAGGGAGUUGGAUAUUCCCUAGGGUCAGCUGGCUCUUCCCUUGGGAUGGAAAGAAGAUGGAAUUCUUGGUGUGUGCAAUUCUUAAGCAUGCCUGUGUCACUAGGAAUUUGUCUUCCUGUUUUAAAAUUAAGUCUAAUUUCAAUGUGAGUCUGAGGGGAGAAUACAAUUUUCAAGCCAGAUUUCUUCCCCAGCUGAUGUUUCAAGUAGGAAGAAAGUUGGGCUGGGAGUCUAGAGAACUAAGUUUUACAUGUACUCCAUCAAUAAUUUAAAUAAAAAAUUAAAUAAAAUUUUAUAGUAUAUAAUUUUUAUACUAAUUUUUGCAGAUAAUUUUAUUUAUUUGAUUUCUCUUUUGAUUUUAGCCUAGGGACAUAUUUCAGGAAAUCUUCCCAUCAACCUGUCCAUCCCAAUCUAUUUUUCUCUUCCCACAAUGUCUCUAGCUUGGACAUCUUCAAGUCAUCUAGCUUUCUUCAAUCACUCCUUAAAAGCAAAAUGUCUUGAACUCUCAUCUCACACAUUAGAAGAAUCCCAGAACUUUCCCAUAUCUCUGAGGGGAUGGGGGACAGGUAUGUAAGUGAGUCCACCUUACAGCAAUAGUCUACAUUAAUAAUUGACUACUGAUUCUGCCAUUUCCUCUGUGACUUUGGUCAGGUUACUUAACCUCUCUGUUCUUUAGUGGAAACUAGAAAAAUCUGAAAAAUAGAAUAAUUAUUAUAUCUACCUCCUAGACUUGCUUUGAGGAUUAAAUGAGUCAAUAAUGUAAAGGAUUAUUAGAAGGACUGAAUAAGUUAAUAUAUAGAGAAUGCUUAGCAAAGUGCCUGGCACACAGUGAGCAUUGUAUAGGUGGUAUUUAUUAUUAUUCUUUUCACAGCUCAUUUUCCCAUUGCUUACUGGCUCCUACCUCCCACCGCCUGGCCUGCCAUUGCUGCAAAGGCUUCUCUGCAGUUGCGCCUUAUGGCAGACACCAGCUUCCUUUCUUCAUUCUCCUUUAGACAGUGCACGUGCAAGGCUAUUGUGAGUAAUAGUAAUAGCGAAUCACGGCAAACAUAGACUGAGUACUGACCUGUGCCCAGCACUGUUGUAAAGAUGUACUUUACAUCUCUGAGCUUAUUUCAUUCUCAUGCAAACUCAGAGAUAAAUAUGAUGCUGAUGAUUAUCUCAUUUUGCAGAUGAAAAAGUGAGGCACAAAACUGUAAAUAGCUUGCCCAAGGUAACCAAGCGAGUACAUGGCGAAGCCAGGUGUUUAAACCAUUGUUAACUUAUCAUUCCCUUAGCACUUGCAUGUACAGAAAAGCAUCUUUUUUCCUUCCACGGAAUGAUGUCAGUACGCUAUUCUGCUGAUUUGGUAAAAGCCAACUUCCUUGUCAAUGCUGAAGGGGGUGGGGCACAGAAAGAAGGAGGUGGAUUUUUAGUGUGUAAUGAUGAGCUGAUAGAAACGGCUUAAAUAUGCUGAGCACCAGCUGUGUGUUGCGCAUUGUGUCCCUCCGUAUAUAUGCUUCAAGGGAUUUCUCGAAACCGCAGUCAUUAAUCAUUAUUGUCAUUUCCCAGGGGAGGAAACUGAGUCCUGGGAAGGUAAGGACUUGCCCUCAGGUCACCCUGCUCAUGAGCUGUGCAGACAGGUCCACCUGCCCCACAGCAUCCGGGACAGGCUCUUUUUACCAUAUCGUCUUGCAUCCCUCAAAGUCAACCCCGGGCCUUUCCGUCUUUAAGGGUUCCAUGCCCUUAAUUGGUUCCAAUCAGUAAUUUUUUUGGUAGUUCUCUUCCCUCCCCCCCCAAUCCCCGUUUGUAACCUCUGUGACCCAGCUUUUCUUUUAAACUGCUUUAAAUCAUAUCCAUAAGUAUUUAAGUGUCUACAAUAUUAAAGUUAGGUAGAAGUAGCUAAAUGGAUUAAGGAUGCUUAUUAAAAUGUUUUGCCUCAUUAUUCCAGGGGGCCAUAAAUGUGAUGUUAGUAAGUACCAUUAAACUUCGUUCUAUCAAUAACACUUGGUUGAUAGCAUUAGGCACUGUUAAGGCACAGUCUCUGUACUUGAAGUGGUCACCUAGGGAAAGGAGUGUGUGUAUAUGUGUGUUGUGUGUGUGUGUGUUUGUGUGUGUGUAGGUACCAUUGCUCAUCAAGUUCAACAUGGAACAUGACUCUCCCAACCCUCUAUGGUUAACUCAAAGCAGCCACCUUGUCGAGCUGCUUUGUUUGCUGUUCCAGAUUGUUUCGGGAAUGUGUUUUAAGUGUUUACAUCAGACUUUUAAGAUCACCUAUGGGCCUGAAUUGUUUCGCGUGGCUGCUCAGCUUAAUUGCAGGGCAGUUACCGUAUUCACGUUGCUAUCGCUGGUGAUGGGGUGUUGCCAGAAAACUCUGGAUUGCGUACCUUUAAGCCACGUACGGUCCCCCCUCCCCUGGGGUUUCCAGAACUUGCUGAUUGGCAAUGGUCAGCUUCCCAGAAGCUGAUGAAUUGUAGUAAUGACUUUUAUGUUAAUGUGCUCUAAAGGUGACUUUCUUUAAGCUUUUUGAUCACUAUGUGAAAAAGGAGUGUUGAGACAAACUGCUGUGUAACAAAUUACCACACAUUUCUUGGCUGAAAACAACACCGAUCAUUCUCUCCUAAGGCGCUGUUCAGAAGGCUUGACUGGGGUCUCUGCUCAGGGUGUCACGAGGCCAGAAUCAAGGUGUUAUGAGAGAUUUUGCACAUGAGAAAUAUUUUCUCCUCUCGUAGCUAUAGAUUAUGUGACUGCUUUAAGGACAAGCUGUCCCACAUGACUUGAUACUCACACCUGACCAUUUGGCUGUAGAAAUUUGAGAGGUGAAUGUUUUGGCAUCCUGUCUAACUUGAGGCAACUGAGUCUCAGUAUUUAUUCAGGAAACGCAAUUUCUUCUCUUAAUCAACUAGUGGACCAUCUUUUCCCUGACAUUUAUACAUACUGUGGGUAUAUUUUAGUUUGUCUUAAGGCACUAUAUUGAAAGUCAGCAUAUCUAAAUUGGGCUUUCAGCUCUGACAGUUGUGCAAAUGAUUUUCUUUUGCCUCUAUUUUUUCCUCUGAGGAUGAUACUGAUACUACUUUUUACUCUUUAAGUGUAUUUCAUUUUGCAAAAUGCAUGCUCAGCAGAGGCCCAGUGAGUGGUUUGUAUAACUUCUUGAUCUCACUGUGUUUUUUCCUAGGCCAAUGUUCAUUUUAGUCUAUCAUGCUGGGAGAAGUAACCUUCUUGCCAGGUGGCUGUGCAUGCCUUAGCCCUUCCCUUGUAUCAGUCCCUUGGAUACCUAAUGCAGUAAUAGUAUGUAAUAUUUGUAUUACAUUUUACAAAUUCAUAAAGGGAACACGACCCAUUUGCUAUCUUACUUAAUUCUUUCUAAAAUUCUGUGAGGUAGAUAUUAUUAUUUCUACUUUACAGAUGGGAUGAAUAUGAUUCGGGAAAUUAACUGACUCAUUCAAGAUCACAGUAGAAAUAGAGCCAGGACUGCAACUGAAGUGUUAUGACUUCAAAUCCAGUGUUGUGUCUACUUCACUCCAGCUAAGCAGUAAGAGGACAAUAGUGCUCACAGCCAGGGCCAGCAGUGUGUGCAGUAAACUUCAGAUAUGAGGAAUAACUUCAGUUUUUAGUCAUUUUCUUUUCUUGCACUUAUUUCAACUCUAAUUUUUGAUCCCUUUGAUUUUUCUUCUUACACGUGUUUUCCUAGAAUCCAAAUUAGCAUAUUGACAUUGUCCUCAUAAUAGGACAAUAAUAGUCCCCAUAAUAGUCAAUAUCCGCCCUGGGCCACCGCCACAUGAUUGAGGGCAGGGACUAUCUAUAGUGUUGCCUCAGUGUCAAAGAAGUUGUACCAUUUUUAUACCAGUCUCAAAUGUUUGCAAUUUCAUGUUAUCUCACCAAUAGCUGAAGGUUGAAAAGGGAAGGCCUGUAUUGUAGGAAAUCUGCAGGUAUUUGUUAUUCCGUAGGACCUAUGUCUUUGAGAUUCUGUGGACCUCCUUCACAGAAUAAUUAGUAUAAGACUUUAUGCAUAGAACUUUCCAUACAAAUCAAGAAAUUCACUCUUCCCGAGUAUUGUCUCCUAAUCCCAUAGCUAAUGCAAUGAUUCAUGUAUCUAGUAAUCCCAGCGAUGGUUAAUUGCUGGAGAACACUGGCUGGUGGCUAGAGAAUGCUGGUGGCUAAAGGAGGAUGCUCUGAAGCCAGGCUGCCUGAAUUGAAAUCCAGGUCCUGGCAUAUACUAGCUAGGAGAUGUUGGCAAAUAACUGAAUCUCUCUGUUUCAUCUAUAAAAUGAGGAAGAUAAUAGGACCUACCUCGUAGGGUUGUUGGGAGGAUUGACGAAUUGUUCAAUGUAAAACACUGGGAACAAUGUCUGUCACUGUGGUAGGCAGGAUGUCUCAAAUGGCCUCCAAAGAUGUUCAGCCCUAAUCCUCAGGACCUGUGAAUAUGGCGAAACAUCUCUUGCAUGAUUAUAUCAUGUAGGCACAGUUGAGCUUAAAAUAGGGGAUUAUCUGGGUGGACCUAAUCUAAUCACAUGAACCCCUUUAAAAGCAAAGAGCUUUCUUAAGCUGCUGGCAGAACAGGAAGUCAAAGAGAUUGCAAGAACUUCCCAAUAAGAGCCCAGCUAGUUUAAACCCUGAUGUCAAUCUUAUGAGAUCCUGAACAGAGAACCCAGUCAAGCCUGCCUGGACUUCUCAACUACAGAACUAGGAGAAUCAAGACAACUCUUUUUUCUUUUGAGCUCUUGAUAUCUUAAAGCAACUGGGUAAAGUAUUCUUUUGUGAACAAAACUGAAACAUUUACCUUUCACUCUCUACCUGAAGCCUCCAGAAUUUGAAAACUAUUCAUAAGCACUCUUAAUUUCAUGGCAAUAUAGUUAUUUGCAUAAGUUCAAUAAGAACCUAUUUUCUUUAGUAAUAGGACACAUUACACAUUGGUAACUUUGGUUAUUUUACCAAGGCUUUGACUGGAAUGUCAUAUUUUCAAAUAUGACAACACAACUUUGAGGGACUGAGAGUGACUUUAUAAGGCCAAUAGACUUGGAAAAAGACUGGCUGGGUACUUCAUCCACGUGGUUCCCUUACAGGGUUCCUGACCUUGUAAGUAAAGAAUGUCACCUUUGGGCAGGCCCAGGAACCUCAAAUUAUUUUGAGCACCUCAAGAAGAGAGGAAUUUAUCCAGUUUGUGCCAUUAAUACAGACAGUCUGAUGGUGAAUCCUUGGCUUGGGUUCCUAGCCUCAAGAGGCUUUUAAAAGUCUAAUUUGAAAUCCCUUAUGAAAAAGUUCCAGCAAAGCCAGCUAAAAGGAGAAUAUAUGGCCAAUCGCUAUUUUUCUUGCACUGUAUGCAAAUAAUCAAGCCAAGUAUAAUAAAACCAAAAAUAAUAUUGCAAAUAAAUUGGCUCACUAUGAUUUCUCUUUGGUAGAUAAGGAGGAAUGGAGAGAGAAAAAACAUGUUUCGAUAGAAAACUUUAGCACACCUGUUAUUAGAUUUUAGCCCUAAUCAUUGUUUUUGAGGUUUUUUUUUUUUUUUAAUUUGCCUAUAAUUUGAACUGAAUACUGGAUUAUUUCCUGGUUACAACAAGUCUCUAAGGAAGAAGCUGGAUUUUAUUUUCUUCAUGGUGUUUUUAGUUGGUUCCCUAAUGGAAUAGGUUCUUUUUUUUUCUGUUCUGGGAUACAAAUUAAUUGUUUGAUUAUCAUCCUUAUGUGCAUUUUUUGCACUAUUCAAAUUAUUAGUCCUACAUAUCUCUUGUUGCUUUAUUUCUAAGGAAACCAAAAUUAUGACAUUCUGAAGACUACAAAUGAUUCAACAAGCAACAGCGGCUAUAAAUCAAUGACUUGUUUAGUUGGUUACCCUCUGGACUAAGUUUUUUAUUUUAUUCUAGUGUUCUAGUUGUUAUUAUUAUGAUCAUAAACAUAGUUGUUAUUUUCCUGGCUAUUAAAUUAUUCAUGAUUUGUAUUCCUGCUUGUUUUAGAUCAAUGGCUAAGACCAAAAUAAUGGUCACCCAAUGACAGGGGGAUGACUCAUUAUUCAGAAGAAUAGCGUGUAGCCUCAUGUCAUGACCCACCCCGCGUUGCUAGUAGUCUGGACUGCCUGCAAUAACAAGGUGCUUUCCCCCACCAGGAGACAUGCCUUCUGGGAAUGAGCCUUCCCAACACCAAGAAAUGAACAUCUGUCACUCUUAACUUCAGCGGAGCUUGAUCAUCAGUGCUUCUAGGAGAAGAUUUUGAUCAAAGAGGAAGGGGGAAAUGAUAACCUACAGCUCACAUUUGAUAGUUUACAUUCAAAGAAAACAGGCUUACAAAUUAACCUACCUUGGGAAGGUCUUGUGAUUCAAGGAGACAUACUGUUCCUGAGUAAGGAAUCUUGUCAUGAGUUCCUCACAUUGUUGACCUACUGAUUAAUGCAUAACCUACUGACACUGAAAAGGAAGCUGAUUUGUUUCUGAAUCCUAAAGUUUUACUGACUGUCUCACAGGUAGACAUUUUAGCUUGUCUCUUGUAAUUGGUAUCUAAUGAUUCUAACGUCUAUAUUUUAAACCUCCAAUGAAAAUGGACAACUUCAGGAUGAGGAAUCCCUCUCCCUUCUCUUAAACUCUCUUACAAAAGCCUUCCAACUUGUAACAGUCUCUGAACCACGCCCAACUUUGUUAAUCUGUCUUCCAGAGUUAAACCAUACAUUUGCCUUCCAAUAAACCUUUGUCAAAUUA